AAAAGAUGGCUCAAUAUCAUAUUAGAUGAAGAAAAAGCAAUGUAUAUUUAUAUAUAUAAACAUAUUUAGGAGUUAAAAUAUUGCUUUAGUUUUUAAUUGGUUAAAAUAUUAUAUGAAUUUAUUUAAAAGGCUAGAAGAAAAUAUGGCAAAAUCGUGGUGGUUCUGGAUUUCCAAAAAUGCUCUAGUGAUCAUAAAGUACUUAUCUAAUCAAAAUAAGAUAAAAUAAUUAUGGACCAGGGGGAAAAACUAAAAAUCAAGCUGAGGAUGUACAUACUGAGUUUUAGUUCUAUGAAAGAAAUGAAAAAUUAUACUAUAGCUACAGAUGUUACCAUCUCCAGAUUUCGAAUAUGUUUUUCAACUAUCUCAAGGGGACUUGGAGCAAGAAAGGACAGAUGGCUGAGUGGAGCCAACUUCCAGUGCUAGAAAAGUAACACAGAGUACUGUUGUGCUGAUGCCACACCUGUGGUAGCCACUUUGAGCAAAGAAGAAUGGCACACACGGUUUCCCCUCCUGCUGCACGUAGAGUAUAGCAGUCCUCUCUGUGCAGGAAGGAAAAGUAUACACUCCAGAGCAUCUAAGAAGGUAUAUCAGUUUCCUAGAGCUGCCAAAACAAAGUGCCACAGAUGGAGGCUUAAACAGCCACAGUUUAUUUUCUCAAGGUUCCAGUGGCUGAAAGUCUGGGAUCAAGGUAUGUAUGGGGUUGGCUUCUUCUAGAGCCUCUCUCCUUAGCUUAUGAUGGUUGCCUUUUUGCUGUGUUCUCACAUGGAUUCUCCUCUGUCUGUGUCCUGAUCUUUUCUUUCCUUUUUUUUUUUUUUUUUUAAGAUUUUUUUUAUUUAUUUGACAGAGAGAGAUCACAAGUAGGCAGAGAGGCAGGAAGAGAGAGAGAGAGGAGGAAGCAGGGUCCCUGCUGAGCAGAGAGCCCGAUGUGGGGCUCGAUCCCAGGACCCUGAGAUCAUGACCUGAGCUGAAGGCAGAGGCUUAACCCACUGAACCACCCAGGUGCCCCGUCCUGAUCUUUUCUUAUGAGGAUACCAAUCCUAUUGGAUUAAGAUUGACCCUAAUGACCUCAUUUUUUUUUUUAAAGAUUUUAUUCAUUUAUUUGACAGACAGAGAUCACAAGUAGGCAGAGAGGCAGGCAGAGAGAGGAGGAAGCAGGCUCCCUGCUGAGCAGAGAGCCCGAUGUGGGGCUUGAUCCCAGGACUCUGGGAUCAUGACCUGAGCCGAAGGCAGAGGCUUUAACCCACUGCGCCACCCAGGCACCCCCCUAAAGGCCUCAUUUUAACUUAAUUACUUCUUUAAAGACCUUAAAUCCAAACAUAGUCACAUUCUGAGGCUCUGAGUGUUGGGACUUCAGCAUGAAUUUUGGGGAUGCAGCCCAUAACAGGGUGAGGAACUGGCUGGAGAAGGUGGUUUUUUUAGUGUAAUAAUACUGAUCAAGGGCAUCUGGAUGGCACAGUUGGUUAAGUGUUGUACUGCUGGAUUUGGCUCUGGUCAUGAUCUUAGGGUCAUGAGAUCGAGCCCCACAUCAGCCUCCACACCCAGCAUGACUCUGCUUGAGAUUCUCUCUCCCUUUCCCUCUGUCUUUCCCCCCACCCUGUGCAUUUGCUCUCUCUAAAAUAAAUAAAUCUUAAAAAAAAAAAAAAAAGAAUGUUGAUCAAGAUACUUGGGAUGGACAUUCAGUUGCUGGGUUACUUGUGAGAGAUGUACUGUGACUGGACAGGCAGACAGCUUUCAAAAGGGUACAGUAGAACUGGUAAAAGUGUAGUUAGCUAUGUUUCCAGAAACUUUUGGCCAUUUGGCUCUAUUUACAUUUUGCCUGAUUGAAGAAAACCAUCUUAAGGCUUACCUCUAGAUUGGGACUUUUUCUAGCAGUGUCAUGAAAAUUUAUGUAAAGAUUAUUAGAACUGAAGAAGAUUAAGAGAAUAGAAGAUCUGUUAAAUAGCCUAAAUGAGCUUUUUGUGACUCUCCUUUUAUUUAGAUACAUGAAUUCCAUCAUGCUGGCCUGGGGAGAUCUAUUAGAAAGUAAAUUUAUAUCAGCAGCCAACAACUGCAUUUCAAGAACCAAUGUCUGAAUGCCCAAAUGUAAAGAAUGAUAUGGGUCCUCAGGCAUUUCUUUCCUUGCCUCUAUGGGAAAAUGGAGUAGUCCUUGGAAGGUGAUCUAAGAAAUGAGGACAAGUAUAGCGAUAGCAAACAACGACAACACAAAUCUCAAUCUGCCUUGGCUUUCUCUACAGUCGGAGAAUUCUGAACUUGAGCCAGAGAACUCUAUUUCGUUCUGCAGCAGGCUCCCAUCCCUUUGGAAAAGACAGAUACCACAAGUAGGCAGAGAGGCAGGCAGAGAGAGGGGGCAAGCAGACUCCUAACCGAGCAGAGAGCCCGAUGCGGGGCUCGAUCCCAGGACCCCGGGACCAUGACCCGAGCCGAAGGCAGAGGCUUUAACCCACUGAGCCACCCAGGCGCCCCUGGAGCAGCUAUUUUCAACUGUCACCUCUACAUGGUGAGUUCUUCGAUCUACAUUUCUCAGUUAACCUCGACCACUCCUGGUCUCUAUUUCCGUUACUUACUGGGCAUGUCCAUCUGGAAGUUCCACCUUCCAGGCUCCCUGGACUCACUGGGCCCAGAAGACUUUAUGCUUCCUUGCAAACUCAUUUCUCCUGUGCUCCCUGUUUCUCUUCAUGCUUGGACAUUGGACACUCUGGUUACCUCGGCUCUCGGUAGGUCCGUCUCAGCUCAGCUGCAUGCAGGUAUGGCAUGGGGCAGGAGGGGAGUCUUACAUAAGCAUGCAUGGGCCUCACUUGGAAUCUUGAGGGUGAGAGCCAGCCUUCCCCAGUUUAAAAGCUCCUUAGGUGAUUCAGUCUUGCAGCCAAGCUUGAGAACCACUUCUCCAGGCCUUGGGGCAUCUCGGACUCUUCCGGAUGCAAGCUGGCAGUCACAGGGCUGGUCUAUGACUUACCCCUAAAAUAUCUCGGGGACCCGUCGCCUCCUUUCUGACCCUGUGUUCUCCCCUUGGCUUAAACAUCAUUAAAGCACCUCUUGGCCUCUCAUUUUCUCCCUUUCUACUCAUGCCAGACAGAUUCUCCCUCUUGUCUGGUUCUGAACAUAUGAACCCUCAUUUCAAAACCCUCCCAGCGGCCAUGUGCCUCGGUCCUGGUUAUGCAGGCCCAUGGCCAGGUGCUAGCUCUCUCCGCCAGGUUUAUACCCACCACCCCCCGUAAGAAACGUUAGGACAGCCCGGACAAACUUGCUUGCCCUUCCUCCUAUCUGCCGCCACACUUCCUGCCUCUGUGCCUUUGCACACACAGUCUCUGCUCCCUUUCUUCUGUACUGCACAUGUCUGCCUCCCAGGCUUUCACGAAGGGCCGCCCCUCAUCUUUCCAGCUGGGAGCAGUGUCCUUCUCCUCGGAAAUGUGUUCAGACUUCUAUGUUCUCUGUCAGAGAACCACUGCAGGGAAAACAGUUUACAAAUUAACGGAUUCUUGUUCUGCAUUUCCUUUAGUAGUCAAAACUAGUUACUUGCUUUACGAGGACAGGGGUGCUCAAGAUUGAGUAACGCUAAGGAUCACCUGGGGAACUCAUUUAAAAUGCAUAUUCCUGGGCUAAUUUCCAGAGAGUCUCAAAAUGCAAGAACGAAUGCUCUAGCAGAAGCUCCCCACCCUGCAAGGUUUUCCAGAUGGUGCUCCUGUGACCGUACUCGGAGAAAUGCUCAGAUGGGAGGUUCUUUCUAAUUUCAUGUCGGUUGGAUCCCUGACCUUACUGACAUGUUGAAAUUCUGUAAUAUAAAUCCAAGGGCAGCCUGCACAGUAGCAUAUUGUUAAUAUUGUUAAUAGUUCACAUAACUCUAAGGAUGGGCAGACUGGGUAAGUGAGUGAAGUGGCCUCAGUGCUGGGGGGUCUCAGGAAGUGGCGGGAGCCACGACGGAGCCGGGAGGGUCCCAGCUCUUUACCUCUGGGUCCUUGUUUCCACUUCAGAACGGGAAACGAGUAAUGCCUGAUCUUUCCGUUUUCUCGGAAAGCUGGAGAUCCAGAUGCUCAUGUGGUAUUUCCAGAUUAUGUUUUUAAAAAUGCUGUAAGUUUUGAUACAAUACCUUGAGCCUUUGCAACCCUGACUUCAAUCAACAAUUUAAUCAUAACCGAAGUAUAAAUAGAAGUAAAUACUUUGUGCUGGUUUGUUUUGCUGCAAGGGUGACAUGCGAUAUUUUCUCAUCUGUCAAUUGACAAGUGCAAUCUGUAGAACACAGACAAGGACAUUUGAGGAUUUCAUAAAUCAUUAAUUGUUCUAGAGAUGGGUCUACCCUCUCACUUUACAGAGGCAAGAACUGAGAUCCAGAGAAGUUAAGGGAGUUAUACGACGUCUAGUAAACUGACUUAAUUUUGCUUUUCUGAUCUGUAAAAUAUGAAAUGUAUGUAAAUAUACCUACAUGGUCAUGGGCUGAAUGUUUGUGCCCCCCGCGCCCCACAAAUUCACAUGUUGAAAUCCUUCCCUCCAAUGUGGGCGUGCUGGGAGGUGGGGCCCGGGGAGGUGAUCAGAUCAUGAGCCUAGAGCCUUCACGAAGGGGAUCAGAGCCUUUACUGAGGGGACCCCAGAGAGCCCCAUCUUUCUGUCACACUUUCUGUGUUUCUACACAACUGGAAGACUGCGGACACAACCUGGAGGAGACCCUCACAAGAACUCCCCAAUGCUGGCGCCAGAUCUCAGACUUCACCUUCCAGAACCGUCUAAGCGGCCAGGGGUAGGGCACCUUUUCAUGGCAGCAGGGAUGGAUGACACACAGUGACUGGGCUCUUGCUGCGUGGGAGACUCUGGGCACCACUGAAUUUUAGCUCCUGUUGUUCCUGAGUUCAAGAUCAGCCUCAUACAAGCCUCGCUUCAGACUCUCCCCAUUGGUUGUCUCUGCCUCAGCCUUCAUGCAAUGAGAUGAUUUUUAUGAAGACAUGGUUUUUUGUUUUUUUUUUAAAUUAGCGAGUUUCAACUAGUUUGUAGAGUAAUUUGGUCAAGUACUUGAGCCUUGCUGAAGUAGUUUCCUUAUUGCCUAAAAAAAGUUGCCCUAGGGGCGCCCGGGUGGCUCAGUCAGUUAAGUGUCUGCCUUUGGCUCAGGUCAUGAUCUCGGUCCUGGGAUCGAGCCCUGUGUCGGGCUCCCUGCUUGGUGGGGUCUGCUUCUCCCUCUGCCUGCCACUCCCCUUGCUUGUGUUCUCUCUCUCUGACAAAUAAGUUCUUUUUUUUUUUUUUUUUCCAUUUUAAAGAUUUUACUUAUUUAUUUGACAGAGAAACACAAGAGGGGAAACACAUGCAAGGGGGAGUGGGAGAAGCAGGCUCUCCGCGGAGCAGGGAGCCCGACUAGGGGCUCAAUCCCAGGACCCUGGGACCAUGACCUGAGCUGAAGGCAGCUUCACUGACUGAGCCAUCCAGGCGCCCUUCUGCCAAAUAAAUUCUUUUUAAAAAAAAAAAGUCCUUUUUGAUGUUUAAGAUCCUGUUUAGUUCUAUAAUUCUAUUAUUUUUAUGAUUCAAUUCGUAGACUUUAAAAAUAAAUGUUUAAGCCGUGAAUCACAGUUUUUAUGUGUCUGAAUAAGCCUUACCUACCAAUUUAGAGAUUGGAAAAAAUAUGUAUACAUUUGUUCAUAGUUUUAAUACUCAGGGAGAAUAAUUAGUUUCUCUAUUAAAGACCAACAACUGUAUUCUAAAUUAUAAA